rnacentral:rRNA from 1 species
CCUACGGGAGGCUGCAGUGGGGAAUAUUGCACAAUGGGGGAAACCCUGAUGCAGCGACGCCGCGUGAGCGAUGAAGUAUUUCGGUAUGUAAAGCUCUAUCAGCAGGGAAGAAAAUGAAGGUACCUGACUAAGAAGCUCCGGCGAACUAGGUGCCAGCAGCCGUGGUAAUACGUAGGGGGCAAGUGUUAUCCGGAUUGACUGGGCGUAAGGGGAGCGUAGACGGUCCGGCAAGCCAGUUGUGAAAGCUCGGGGCACAACCCCGGUACUGCAUUUGAAACUGUAAGGUUAGAGUUUCGGAGAGGCAGGCGGAAUUCCUGGUGUAGCGGUGAAAUGCGUAGAUAUUAGGAAGAACUCCAGUGGCGAAGGCGGCCUGCUGAACGAUGACUGACGUUGAGGCUCGAAAGCGUGGGGAGCAAACAGGAUUAGAUACCCGGGUAGUC